rnacentral:rRNA from 1 species
AACGAACGCUGGCGGCAUGCCUAACACAUGCAAGUCGAACGAGACCUUCGGGUCUAGUGGCGCACGGGUGCGUAACGCGUGGGAACCUGCCCUUAGGUUCGGAAUAACUCCCCGAAAGGGGUGCUAAUACCGGAUAAUGUCUUCGGACCAAAGAUUUAUCGCCUUUGGAUGGGCCCGCGUUGGAUUAGCUAGUUGGUAGGGUAAAAGCCUACCAAGGCGACGAUCCAUAGCUGGUCUGAGAGGAUGAUCAGCCACACUGGGACUGAGACACGGCCCAGACUCCUACGGGAGGCAGCAGUGGAGAAUAUUGGACAAUGGGCGAAAGCCUGAUCCAGCAAUGCCGCGUGAGUGAUGAAGGCCUGAGGGUUGUAAAGCUCUUUUACCCGGGAUGAUAAUGACAGUACCGGGAGAAUAAGCUCCGGCUAACUCCGUG